GUGUCAGCCGCCGCGGUAAUACAGAGGGUGCAAGCGUUAAUCGGAAUUACUGGGCGUAAAGCGCGCGUAGGCGGUCGAGUAAGUCGGAUGUGAAAUCCCCGGGCUUAACCUGGGAAUUGCAUUCGAUACUGCUUGGCUAGAGUGUGGAAGAGGGAAGCGGAAUUUCCGGUGUAGCGGUGAAAUGCGUAGAUAUCGGAAGGAACACCAGUGGCGAAGGCGGCUUCCUGGUCCAACACUGACGCUGAGGCGCGAAAGCGUGGGGAGCGAACAGGAUUAGAUACCCUCGUAGUCC
rnacentral:rRNA from 1 species